GCCGCAAUGGUGGAAUUGGUAGACACGAGGGACUUAAAAUCCCUUGACCAGGAAUGGUUGUGCGGGUUCGAGUCCCGCUCGCGGCA
rnacentral:tRNA from 1 species